AGGGAAACGUGAUUCAACCUGGGGCCCGUGAAAAGACGAGUAUGAUGUCCGUACCGAGAACCGACACAGGUGUCCAUGGCGGCGAAAGCCAAGGCCUGUCGGGAGCAACCGACGUUAGGGAAUUCGGCAAGUUAGUCCCGUAAGUUCGCGAUAAGGGAUGCCUGCUCCGGAACGGAGCAGGUCGCAGUGACUCGGAUGCUCGGACUGUCUAGUAACAACAUAGGUGACUGCAAAUCCGCAAGGACUCGUACAGUCACUGAAUCCUGCCCAGUGCAGGUAUCUGAACACCUCGUACAAGAGGACGAAGGACCUGUCAACGGCGGGGGUAACUAUGACCCUCUUAAGGUAGCGUAGUACCUUGCCGCAUCAGUAGCGGCUUGCAUGAAUGGAUUAACCAGAGCAUCACUGUCCCAACGUUGGGCCCGGUGAACUGUACAUUCCAGUGCGGAGUCUGGAGACACCCAAGGGGAAGCGAAGACCCUAUGGAGCUUUACUGCAGGCUGUCGCUGAGACGUGGUCGCCGAUGUGCAGCAUAGGUAGGAG
rnacentral:rRNA from 1 species